rnacentral:rRNA from 1 species
UGGUUGAUCCUGCCAGUUCAAUACGUUUGUCUCAAAGAUUAAGCCAUGCAUGUCUAAGUAUAAAUAGAUACCUUAAAACUGCGAAUGGCUUAUUACAUCAGUUAUAGUUUAUAUGAUAGAUUAAAAAUGGAUAACCGUAGAAAAUCUAGAGCUAAUACAUGCAAGAAGGCUCAACGCAAGUUGUGCUGUAUUUAUUAGAUACUAACCUUUGGUGAAUCAUAAUAACUUGGCGAAUCACAAUUUUUGUUGUGAUGCAUCAUUCAAGUUUCUGCCCUAUCAGCUCUCGAUGGUACUGUAUUGGACUACCAUGGCUUUUACGGGUAACAGGGAAUGAGGGUUCGAUUCUGAAGAAACCGCCUGAAAGACGGCGAUUACAUCUAAGGAAGGCAGCAGGCGCGUAAAUUACCCAAUCCUGAUUCAGGGAGGUAGUGACAAGAAAUACUAUGAGCCGAGAAAUCGGCCAAUGGAACGGACCGAAUUUAAAUGCUUCGGUGAAACAAUUGGAGGGCAAGUCUGGUGCCAGCAGCCGCGGUAAUUCCAGCUCCAAUAACGUAAUGGAAAUUUGCUGCAGUUAAAAAGCUCGUAGUUGAAUUUCAUGGCCUUUCAUACGCGCCAGCAACCUGGCGUCUUGAUAGGUCAUUCCGUCUGUUAACUUUCGUGGAUAUUUAGUUAUUACGAGAGAGCUCAGGCAUUUUACUGUGAGAAAAUUAGAGUGUUUCAGGCAGGCAAGGCUUGAAUAUAUUAGCAUGGAAUAAUGGAAUGGACUCAGUUUCUAUGGUUGGAUAGAGACUUAGCCACGGUUAAUAGGAACAGUUGGGGGCAUUAGUAUUUAAUUAUCAGAGGUAAAAUUCUUGGAUUUGUUAAAGACUAACGUAUGCGAAAGCAUUUGCCAAGGAUGUUUUCAUUAAUCAAGAACUUAAUCCAAAGGAUCAAAGAAGAUCAGACACCUUCGUAGUUUUGGAUAUAAACGAUAUCGACUUGGGAUUGGAGGAGUGUACCUUUUCCAGCACCAAAUGAGAAAUCAAAGUCUUUGGAUUCUGGGGGGAGUAUGUGCGCAAGCAUGAAACUUAAAGGAAUUCACGGGAGAGUAAACAAGAAGUGGAACCUGCGGCUUAAUUUGACUCAACACGGGAAAACUUACCAGUCCAAGACGUUGGGAGGAUUGACAGAUUGAUCGUUCUUUCUUGAUUCUAUGGGUGGUGGUGCAUGGCCGAUCUUAGUUGGUGGAGUGAUUUGUCUGGUCUAUUCCGAUAACGAACGAGACCUCCGUCGAUAACUAGUAAGGGUGAUUAAUCACUAUUUACUUCUUAUAGAGACUAUUCGCGUUAAGCGAGGGGAAGUGGAGGCAAUAUCAGGUCUGUGAUGCCCUUAGAUAGACUGGGCCGCACGCGUGUUACACUGAUGCAUACACCAUGCCACGGCCCCGAAAGGAAGCUGUUAAUCAGGAAUAUGCAUCGUGAUGGGAAUAGAUCUUUGCAAUUAUAGAUCUUGAACGAGGAAUUUCUUGUAAGCGUAAGUCAUUAGCUUGCGCUGAAUAAGUCCCUACUCUUUGUAGACACCGCCCAUCGCUUUCACAGAGUUAAUAAUCUCGCGAGCCGAUUGGAAUGUACAGGUUUCCUGCGACAUGAAUUUAUGCAAACGAUAUUAUUUCGAUGAGGAAGAAGUUGUAACAAGGUUU